rnacentral:rRNA from 1 species
ACGUAGGGGGCAAGCGUUAUCCGGAUUUACUGGGUGUAAAGGGAGCGUAGACGGCAGUGCAAGUCUGAAGUGAAAGCCCGGGGCUCAACCCCGGGACUGCUUUGGAAACUGUGCAGCUAGAGUGUCGGAGAGGCAAGCGGAAUUCCUAGUGUAGCGGUGAAAUGCGUAGAUAUUAGGAGGAACACCAGUGGCGAAGGCGGCUUGCUGGACGAUGACUGACGUUGAGGCUCGAAAGCGUGGGGAGCAAACAGGAUUAGAUACCCUGGUAGUCCACGCCGUAAACGAUGACUACUAGGUGUCGGGGAGCAAAGCUCUUCGGUGCCGCAGCCAACGCAAUAAGUAGUCCACCUGGGGAGUACGUUCGCAAGAAUG